GGGGGAGGGGCGGAGGAGCGCUCCCCGUUCCCAUUGGUUGCGGCUGCCCCCUGGUGGGCGCCGGUGGCUGCGGCCGGGCGAGUGAGGGGCUCGGCUCGGCUCGGCUCGGCUCGGCUCGGCUCGGCUCGCGCUCGCGCUCCCUCAGUCGUCGUCGUGAGGCGGUGGGAGAUGGUUCCUCGGCCGAAACUCCACCGAGGCGGCCCAGGCAUGGCUGGGUUUCAUUGCGAGACGAAGCGGUAGAGGAAUAAUGGAAAUAUCAAGUCUGGCUGGGUUUGACUGGAAGAUAUUUGACUUCAGAACGUGCAUGAGUCUUUUCACAGCAGCGAUACUAGGAGGCAAUGCAACGGAAAGCUGAUCCGCCUGAGGAAGUUAGUAUAUGCACUUUACCUGAAUUUAUGUCUGGUUUACUUCAGUUUAGCUUCUUGUGGUUAAGUGACUGGCACAUAUGAAAGAUAGUUGACAUACUAUACUCACUCCUAUUUAAUGAAGACUGACAUUGGACUAAUCCAAUUAAAUGACUUUCUUAAGCUUCAUAGACUCCUGUGUUUUACAGUUUCCUAACGUUCAGUCUCUUUGGGUGCCUUAUUCCCACUAGAGGAGUUAUGGUAAGAAAGACCUGAACUUCUGUGAAUAAAUAAAAGUACUUAGCCUGUUCUGCAUAUUUGUCCUAAGUGUAUGCAUAAGAAGAGGCUCAGUGUUUUGCAGGAAAUAUCGGGAGUCCUUUAUUCCUGGUAAAACUAAAUUGGAGUUGCACUCUCUUACAGCAUUUAAAGAUCAAACAUUUAAUGUCUUUUUAUUCCAUUUCAUCUUCCUGAGUUUUUCCAUGUAAAAAAGAUCUUAUGUGGUUAUAUCACCUUAUUCUGUUACUGUCUGUCCACUCCUAGCACUGACUGGAAGUUGAUGUGGUUCACUGCUGUUCCGUCUGUCCAGUAAGAAGUACUUUCAAGGCUACUCCAUCUAUGGUAGCACCAGCGAGAAAAGCCCUCUGAUGCAAACAGAUGGAAGUCUUGCCUGGGUGUCUCAUGAGAAUAUUUUUCUGGGUGGUUUGCCAGAUCCAAGUUUUGAUCAUCUGAAAGAGCCUUUUGACACAACAGAAUUUCACAGACUUUACAGAGAUGAGAGACCUGGGGUAGUGGUGGGGUUGCUUCUAGACAGUUUUGUGAGCAUCCUCUCUCUGAACCUGUCAGGACCAGCCCAUGGAGCUGAUACUGCUAAGAUGGAGUACGAACUGGUGGCUGGAGAGCACAGUUUGGUUGUUGGAGUGAACAGAUUGAAUCGUAAGAUGCCUAGAAGAGGAGCUACCUGA
rnacentral:lncRNA from 1 species